CUGGAGAGUUUUCAGUUGACGUAGAACGCCUCCUGGCGGCCAUGUUGGAAGACCACCGCAUGAAUUAUUUUGACAGCCGAGGGGCUACCCCAAACGGAAUGAUAAAAGUGACUAGAACUAGUUGAUUCAUCACCACGGUCAUUUUCUUUGGAGUAUAUGGCUGCUCAAACGAGGCCGGAAACACAAAGGGGGAAAAUAUGUUUACAGAUUACCCGCAAUCAUGAAACACCAAUGAGAUAAGACUCAAGAACUCAGAAAAGCAAGGAAACCUUUUUGCCCGUCAAGACCUCAACCCAGACAGCUGUCAAUACAGGGUUUGCUACGAUCAUUUCAUCAUUGAGAAUACUUCAAAAUGAGAAGAUCCUGCCAUGGAAAAGACGACUGGGCGGACAUAAAGUGGAAAGGAGGGGAAAUAACUCACACCAUGCAGCUGGACACCUUUUAGCUGUGGGGUCUUUGUAAUGCAGAUGGCCAAGGAAGUUGCACAGAACUUCCCCAACAUCCCUUCCCAAAUUAAUAUGGAACCUUCAAAAACACAUGGAGCAACUGCGAAAUGAAAUGGAGUUCAACAAAGCCAACAACUGCUUCAUGUGUGCCACUGA